GAGAGCAAAAUUGUAUGGCUUACUGCUGGUUUUUCUGAGUGUUAUAUCAUGCAAUUUGACUAUAUUUCAGAAGACAAUGGUGAAGCGACGCCCUUGCAGGUCCUCCUCUAAUUUAUCUUGAGUUGUAUUUUUUUCACGUGUUGAUUGGUGAAGUAUUUUCUCUGUUUUUUCUCUAAGUUUUGUCUUGGCAAGCAUUUAAAGUCUUGAAAGAUAAAUUGAAAGGAUCCAAUAAAUUGUUUCGGUAUUCUGACAAUUAGAAAGGUGUCUAUUCAUAAUGAAUAGUGAGAUUUUGGGAUGAAUUGAAGUGCAUUAGCUAUAAUGAGGCAGAGGCUGGAUUGGAGACGUGGAGAUGAAAGCUUGACAUGAUGGAUUACAGCCAAGAAGACGAAGGUUAGCUAAGAAAGCUAAGUUGCCUUGGAGACAAACAUUUGUGAUGUUUGACAAUCGGAUUUAUGAAAAAUGUGCUUGCUUAGAGAAGCUGUUUACAAAUAAUUCUUAUUUUUUCUUUAUGGAGAAAUGCUUCUGUUAUUGCAUUGUUUCCGAAUGUGGCAAGAGCUGAGUAUUGAUAUGAUUUAUAAAAUGUUUAUCCCUAUGGUUUGGCGCAUAA